rnacentral:rRNA from 1 species
AGGCACUGCCUGCCCAGUGACGCAUGUUCAACGGCCGCGGUACCCUGACCGUGCAAAGGUAGCAUAAUCACUUGUUCUCUAAAUAGGGACUCGUAUGAAUGGCCACACGAGGGUUUAACUGUCUCUUACUUUCAAUCAGUGAAAUUGACCUACCCGUGAAGAGGCGGGUAUACCAAAAUAAGACGAGAAGACCCUAUGGAGCUUCAAUUUAAUAGUACACACUAAUAUCCUCNAAACCCANCAGGCAAUAACCUAUCGUCAAUGUACUAUAAAUUUUGGUUGGGGCGACCUCGGAGUAUAACAUAACCUCCGAAAGNCACACACUAAGACUUCACUAGUCUAAGUAANNACACACAUUAAUUGACCCAAUANNNANCUUGAUCAACGGACUAAGUUACCCUAGGGAUAACAGCGCAAUCCUAUUUUAGAGUCCAUAUCGACAAUAGGGUUUACGACCUCGAUGUUGGAUCAAGACAUCCUAAUGGUGCAGAAGCUAUUAAGGGUUC